AGCGAACGCUGGCGGCAGGCUUAACACACGCAAGUCGAACGGUCCUUCGGGAUAGUGGCGGACGGGUGAGUAACACGUGGGAACGUACCCUUAGGUUCGGAACAACACAGGGAAACUUGUGCUAAUACCGGAUAAGCCCUUCGGGGGAAGGAUUUAUCGCCUUUGGAGCGGCCCGCGUCUGAUUAGCUUGUUGGUGAGGUAAUGGCUCACCAAGGCUACGAUCAGUAGCUGGUCUGAGGGGAUGGCCAGCCACACUGGGACUGAGACACGGCCCAGACUCCUACGGGAGGCAGCAGUGGGGAAUCUUGCGCAAUGGGCGAAAGCCUGACGCAGCCAUGCCGCGUGGAUGAUGAAGGUCUUAGGAUUGUAAAAUCCUUUCACCGGGGACGAUAAUGACGGUACCCGGAGAAGAAGCCCCGGCUAACUUCGUGCCAGCAGCCGCCGUAA
rnacentral:rRNA from 1 species